GCCGAAGUGGCGGAACUGGUAGACGCGCUAGGUUCAGGGUCUAGUGAGUGUAUGCUUGUGCGAGUUCGAGUCUCGCCUUCGGCACCA
rnacentral:tRNA from 2 species